GGAUUAGAUACCCUGGUAGUCCACGCCCUAAACGAUGAGAACUAGACGUUGGGUUCAAUUAAGGACUUAGUGUCGCAGCUAACGCGAUAAGUUCUCCGCCUGGGGAGUACGGCCGCAAGGUUGAAACUCAAAGGAAUUGACGGGGGCCCGCACAAGCGGUGGAGCAUGUGGUUUAAUUCGAUGCAACGCGAAGAACCUUACCAGCCCUUGACAUCCUCGGAACUUGGUAGAGAUACCUUGGUGCCUUCGGGAACCGAGUGACAGGUGCUGCAUGGCUGUCGUCAGCUCGUGCCG
rnacentral:rRNA from 1 species